rnacentral:rRNA from 1 species
UACGGGGGGGGCAAGCGUUGUUCGGAAUUACUGGGCGUAAAGGGCUUGUAGGUGGCCAACUAAGUCAGACGUGAAAUCCCUCGGCUUAACCGGGGGAACUGCGUCUGAUACUGGAUGGCUUGAGUGUGGGAGAGGGAUGCGGAAUUCCAGGUGUAGCGGUGAAAUGCGUAGAUAUCUGGAGGAAUACCGGUGGCGAAGGCGGCAUCCUGGACCGACAUUGACGCUGAACGGCGAAAGCUAGGGGAGCAAACGGG